rnacentral:rRNA from 1 species
GACGAACGCUGGCGGCGUGCUUAACACAUGCAAGUCGAACGGAAAGGCCGUGCUUUUGUGUGGUGCUCGAGUGGCGAACGGGUGAGUAACACGUGAGUAACCUGCCCUUGACUUUGGGAUAACUUCAGGAAACUGGGGCUAAUACCGGAUAGGAGCUCCUGCAGCAUGGUGGGGGUUGGAAAGUUUCGGCGGUUGGGGAUGGACUCGCGGCUUACCAGCUUGUUGGUGGGGUAGUGGCUUACCAAGGCUUUGACGGGUAGCCGGCCUGGGAGGGUGACCGGCCACAUUGGGACUGAGAUACGGCCCAGACUCCUACGGGAGGCAGCAGGGGGGAAUAUUGCACAAUGGGCGGAAGCCUGAUGCAGCAACGCCGCGUGCGGGAUGACGGCCUUCGGGUUGUAAACCGCUUUCGCCUGUGACGAAGCGUGAGUGACGGUAAUGGGUAAAGAAGCACCGGCUAACUACGUG